UACGUAGGGGGCUAGCGUUGUCCGGAAUCAUUGGGCGUAAAGCGCGUGUAGGCGGCCCGGUAAGUCCGCUGUGAAAGUCGGGGGCUCAACCCUCGGAUGCCGGUGGAUACUGUCGGGCUCGAGUACGGAAGAGGCGGGUGGAAUUCCUGGUGUAGCGGUGAAAUGCGCAGAUAUCAGGAGGAACACCGAUUGCGAAGGCAGCUCGCUGGGACGUGACUGACGCUGAGACGCGAAAGCGUGGGGAGCAAACAGG
rnacentral:rRNA from 1 species